CCGUUGUCCUUGUGUCCAUGUCCUUUGCUCUUUGCUUUACUCACUUUAUUGCAAGAGAAGCAGCGCGCACGCAGCAGACGGGAGAGCAAGCUAGGCAAGCUAGCAAUGGAGUCGUUGUGGAGAGAGAGAGCAACAUCCCUGCCUCCCCUCCCUCUAUAAAUCCAGCCUCACCUCCUUGCUCCUACCACCAUCCUUCACACUAGUGCACUGUUCUCCACUCACUCAUUCGAUUAACCUAGCUUUCUCUUUCUCUCUCUAGUAGCCGUGGUUGCCUCCUUGUGUUUGCUCCAUGCGCCUUGAGCAUACCCAUCAAGAUCCAGGUCCGUGGAAUGUGUUUUAUUCAUCUUCACACCUUCUCCUCUCUUCGAAGAAACCAGGGACGAUAUUAUGCAACUCUAUGAACAUAUGUUGUUUAUUUGGGGAUCACAUUUAGCACAUUACUCAUGUGUGAAAUGUUACCAUCUUUUUUUGCCACUUCUUGAUGCAAAUGCGAUGAUUUAUUAAGAGCUAAUAUCACCAGAAGUCAUAGAACUUGCGUUCGAUGUUCAGUUUAGUGCUAAAACUUUAAAAAUAUAGAAUUAUGGUCACUCAACUUGUCUCUGCGUGCAAAUACGGUCACUUCGUCCAUAUUUAAAUGUAUAUUGAUCUUACAUGGCAUGCCAACGAUGCUAUUCUUUUUACUGAUA